AUUGAACGCUGGCGGCAUGCCUUACACAUGCAAGUCGAACGGCAGCACGGGUGCUUGCACCUGGUGGCGAGUGGCGCACGGGUGAGUAAUACAUCGGAACAUGUCCUGUAGUGGGGGAUAGCCCGGCGAAAGCCGCAUUAAUACCGCAUACGAUCCACGGAUGAAAGCGGGGGCCCUUCGGGCCUCGCGCUAUAGGGUUGGCCGAUGGCUGAUUAGCUAGUUGGUGGGGUAAAGGCCUACCAAGGCGACGAUCAGUAGCUGGUCUGAGAGGACGACCAGCCACACUGGGACUGAGACACGGCCCAGACUCCUACGGGAGGCAGCAGUGGGGAAUUUUGGACAAUGGGCGAAAGCCUGAUCCAGCAAUGCCGCGUGUGUGAAGAAGGCCUUCGGGUUGUAAAGCACUUUUGUUCGGAAAGAAAUCCUGGACUCUAAUACAGUCGGGGGAUGACGGUACCGGAAGAAUAAGCACCGGCUAACUACGUG
rnacentral:rRNA from 1 species